rnacentral:tRNA from 1 species
UAAAAGUUAGUUAAUAUUAAUAUAACAAUUUAAUGUCAUUAAAUAAUAAUUAUCUUUUUAAUACUUUUAA